ACCCUCCGGUUCCCUUUCCCAUCGGAUCUGAACACUGGUCUUGGUGGUCGUAAGAGGAGGAAUAACAGUACUGAAGCUGUCCUUACGGGGCCUGUAGUCUUCUACAGAGCAUGUGGGCUAGUUUCAAACAAGG
ensembl:snoRNA